rnacentral:rRNA from 1 species
AUACGGAGGAUGCGAGCGCUAUCCGGAUUUAUUGGGUUUAAAGGGAGCGUAGGUGGGAUAUUAAGUCAGCUGUGAAAGUUUGGGGCUCAACCUUAAAAUUGCAGUUGAUACUGGUUUCCUUGAGUACGGUACAGGUGGGCGGAAUUCGUGGUGUAGCGGUGAAAUGCUUAGAUAUCACGAAGAACUCCGAUCGCGAAGGCAGCUCACCGGGCCGGAACUGACACUGAUGCUCGAAAGUGCGGGUAUCAAACAGGAUUAGAUACCCUGGUAGUCCACACAGUAAACGAUGAAUACUCGCUGUUUGCGAUAUACAGUAAGCGGCCAAGCGAAAGCAUUAAGUAUUCCACCUGGGGAGUACGCCGGCAACGGUGAAACUCAAAUGAAUUGACGGGG